rnacentral:SRP_RNA from 3 species
GGGUAAGUCCUACACGACCAGCUCCCCCCGAACUCCGUCAGGUCUUGAUCGAAGCAGCGGUAGGGGGUCGUAGCGGUGCGAUGUAGUAAGCUUACCCUUU